ensembl:miRNA
GACAGAGCUGCAGGGAAGGGGAGCCCAGGGCCUGAGGCAUGUCCAGCCUUGCCACACUGCCCUGUCUGUUCUCCCCACAG